GAUGAACGCUAGCGGCAGGCCUAAUACAUGCAAGUCGAACGGAUAUAUGUUUUUCGGAAUAUAUAUUAGUGGCGCACGGGUGAGUAACACGUACAUAACUUGCCCUCAAGCGGGGGAUAGCCUUGGGAAACUGAGAGUAAUACCCCAUAGAAUUAUUGGACGGCAUCGUUUGAUAAUUAAAACUACGGUGCUUGGGGAUAGAUGUGCGUCUGAUUAGCUAGUUGGUGAGGUAACUGCUCACCAAGGCGACGAUCAGUAGGGGGCGUGAGAGCGUGGCCCCCCCACACGGGUACUGAGACACGGACCCGACUCCUACGGGAGGCAGCAGUAAGGAAUAUUGGUCAAUGGAGGGAACUCUGAACCAGCCAUGCCGCGUGAAGGAUGACGGCCCUCUGGGUUGUAAACUUCUUUUGGAUGGGGCGAAAAAACGGGAUUUAUCCUGGACUGACGGUACCAUCAGAAUAAGCACCGGCUAACUCCGUG
rnacentral:rRNA from 1 species